rnacentral:rRNA from 1 species
GAUGAACGCUGGCGGCGUGCCUAAUACAUGCAAGUCGAGCGAACAGACGAGGCGCUUGUUCCUCUGACGUUAGCGGCGGACGGGUGUGUAACACGUGGAUAACCUACCUAUCAUUCUGGGAUCACCUCGGGAAACCGGAGCUAACACCGGAUAAUAUCUUGAUCCGCAUGGUUCAAUAGUGAAAGACGGUUUUGCUGUCACUUAUAGAUGGAUCCGCGCCGCAUUAGCUAGUUGGUAAGGUAACGGCUUACCAAGGCAACGAUGCGUAGCCGACCUGAGAGGGUGAUCGGCGACACUGGAACUGAACCGCGGUCCAGACGACUAAGAGAGGCAGCAGUAGGGAAUCUGCCGCAAUGGGCGAAAGCAUGACGGAGCAACGGCGCGUGAGUGAUGAAGGUCUUCGGAGCGUAAAAAUCUGUUAUUAGGGAAGAACAAAUGUGUAAGUAACUAUGCACGGCUUGACGGUACCUAAUCAGAAAGCCACGGCUAACUACGUG